AUGGCAAGACCCUUUAAAAGUGUUAAGAACAUCAAUGAUUCGAAGAAGCUCUGGAAAUUAACGGUCAAAAUCCAUCACAAAUCGACGAUGGUCUCCAAGAAUAAAGAACACUUCGACAUGAUUCUGGUUGACAAAGAGGUUGCAGAAUACUUAGUUCCGAACAUUAGAUCUAUCCCUACCAACAGAUCAAUGAAGCCAACAUACUUCCGGUUCCUCACCGUUUGA